rnacentral:tRNA from 1 species
UUAAAAAUAAGCUAAAAUUAAAGCUUUUGGAUUCAUACCUCAAAUAUAAAGGAAUACCUUUUUUUUAAA